rnacentral:ncRNA from 2 species
CUCUUAUUCAGAGUGGCGGAGGUACAUAGGACCUGUGAACCCACGGCAACCCCCUGAGCGGAAGGUGCCAACCUGAGCGAUAAUUCGAACAAUAAGAG